GGAAACAGUAACUGCCUCCUGAACAGAUAACUCAGAAGCAGUGAUCAAAAUCUCACACUGAAUCAAUGGGAGUUUUACCUAAAUAAGUGUACCCAGAAAAUGACUGCACUGCACCUUUAAGCAGGGGGAAUUUGGCAGACUGGCUGAAUGAAGAAAAUAAUGUGAUAUGGCUGCAAGGGUCAAACUGCUGCAAAAGGGGACAAGGAACUCACCCCCUGGAAACAGGAUGGGCAGAGGGGUUUAAAAGGGGCAUCCCAUGUGGAGAAUCCUGUAUUUACAUGGAGCAGGUUGAGGCUGCAUCUACCCUCUCUCCCCUUUAAGUAGCUAAAUAAGUGGUAACUAGCUGCUGUGGGCAUUGCACUAGCCGCUGAUUUUUAGUGAGGCUGGGAAGGAAUUUUUCCCUCACCACCAGAUUCGCCUUGGUGGAGUGGUUGUGGGGUUUUUUUGUUUGUUUAUUUUGUUUUGUUUUUGUUUGCCUUCCCCACAGUGGGUUUGAGGAGGGUUUUUUUGAUAUGUGGAAUGAAGGGUGUUAGGCUAUGAUGUUGUAAGUGUGGGGCGGAUGGCCAGUGCAGGUACUCCAUAGGGAAGGUAUACAGUGAUCGGAUAAAUGGCCUGGUAAAGGACUUUAAAAAGAGGUGUUGGUUAAAGGAAUAGAACAAGAGGAGGGCUUGGGUAUGGCAGGGAGACACUGCCCCCUUUCUUAUAGCCCACCUUAACCCUUCUAUAAGGGUGGGUGGAUGGUAAAGUCCCAGCAAUGGGUUGGCUGAGGAACCUGAUGGGAAAAAAAGUGGGAGGGCUGACAGAAGCCCCCCAGGUAG